AAUUUCGAAAAUAAUAAAUAUAUGUAAACAUACAACAUAAAAAAUGGAAAUACUACAUUAAACAUAUGUAAGAUUACCAUUUUACAUUUUUAAUUUAAAAAAAAAAUAUGUAAACAUACAACAUAAAAAAUAGAAAAACUACAUUAAACAUAUGUAAGAUUACCAUUUUUCACUAAAAAAAGACGGUUUAUCUCCAUAAUGUAAAAUUACUAUUUUGUAAAAAAAACAUUAUAUAUAAUUUUGAAAAUAAUAAAUAAUAUAUAAACAUAAAACAUAAAAAAAUGGAACUACUACAUUAAACAUAUGUAAUAUUACCAUUUUACAUUUAAAAAUAACAAUAAUAUGUAAACAUACAACAUAAAAAAAAAUAGAAAAACUACAUUAAACAUAUGUAAGAUUUCCAUUUUUCACUAAAAAAGCGGGUUAUCUCCAUAAUGUAACAUUACCAUUUUAUAAAAAAAGAAAAAAAAACAUAAAUAUAACUAUUUGACUAUUUGUCCAAGUUCUUCUAUUAAACAUUGCCGUUUUACAUUAAAAAUGUAAAAAUACAUUAAGAUUUAAACAUCUAUCUUAAAAUAUAAAAUAUAGAUAUUAACUAAAUAUAAAGUAUAAGAAAGAGAAAAUACUCAAUAUAUAGAAAAUAAAUAAUAAAUAAAUCCGUACUAAUAACGACAAAUACUUAUUAAUAAAUAAAUCCUUACUAAUAAAAUGGACCUUUUGAGGCUCCAUAGAGCGUCCACAUCAGCAAAAAAAACAUCUCCCGAAAGAUGACAUGUGGCAUAAAAUAUAGUUUUAUACUUUAAUAUUACUAAUUUUCGCAAAUUAUAAAUAAUAUGUAAACAUACAGCAUAAAAAUAGAAAAACUACGUUAAACAUAUGUAAGAUUACCAUUUUUCACUUGAAAAAAAGACGGCUUAUCUCCAUAAUCCUUACUAAUAAAAGGAACCUUUUGAGGCUCCAUAGAGCGUCCACAUCAGCAAAAAAAACCUUCUCUCAAAAGAUGACAUGUGGCAUAAAAUAUAAUUUUACACUUUAAUAUUACUAAUUUUCGCAAAUUAUAAAUAAUAUGUAAACAUACAUCAUAAAAAAUAGAAAAACUAUAUUAAACAUAAGUAAGAUUAUCAUUUUUCACUUGAAAAAAGAUGGCUUAUCUCCAUAAUGUAACAUUACCAUUUUAUAAAAAAAAAACAUUAUAUAUAAUUUCGAAAAUAAUAAAUAUAUGUAAACAUACAACAUAAAAAAUGGAAAUACUACAUUAAACAUAUGUAAGAUUACCAUUUUACAUUUUUAAUUUAAAAAAGAAUAAUAUGUAAACAUACAACAUAAAAAUCCUUACUAAUAAAAGGAACCUUUUGAGGCUCCAUAGAGCGUCCACAUCAGCAAAAAAAACUUCUCUCAAAAGAUGACACGUGGCAUAAAAUAUAGUUUUACACUUUAAUAUUACUAAUUUUGCAAAUUAUAAAUAAUAUGUAAACAUACAUCAUAAAAAAUAAAAAAACUACAUUAAACAUAUGUAAGAUUACCAUUUUUCACUUGAAAA
rnacentral:lncRNA from 1 species